rnacentral:rRNA from 1 species
CUACGGGUGGCUGCAGUGAGGAAUAUUGCACAAUGGGGGGAACCCUGAUGCAGCAACGCCGCGUGGAGGAUGACGCAUUUCGGUGUGUAAACUCCUUUUAUAUGUCAAGAAAAUGACGGUAGCAUAUGAAUAAGCACCGGCGAACUCCGUGCCAGCAGCCGCGGUAAUACGGAGGGUGCAAGCGUUACUCGGAAUCACUGGGCGUAAAGGACGCGUAGGCGGGUUGGAAAGUCAGGUGUGAAAUCCUACAGCUUAACUGUAGAACUGCACUUGAAACUUCUAAUCUAGAGUAUGGGAGGGGCAGAUGGAAUUAGUGGUGUAGGGGUAAAAUCCGUAGAUAUCACUAGGAAUACCUAAAGCGAAGGCGAUCUGCUGGAACAUAACUGACGCUAAGGCGUGAAAGCGUGGGGAGCAAACAGGAUUAGAUACCCCAGUAGUC